rnacentral:rRNA from 1 species
AUUGAACGCUGGCGGCAGGCUUAACACAUGCAAGUCGAGCGGAGACUUCGGUCUUAGCGGCGAACGGGUGAGUAAUACCUAGGAAUCUGCCUAUUAGCGGGGGAUAACGAAUCGAAAGGUUCGCUAAUACCGCAUACGUCCUACGGGAGAAAGGGGGGGAUCUUCGGACCUCUCGCUAAUAGAUGAGCCUAGGCCGGAUUAGCUAGUUGGUGGGGUAAGGGCCUACCAAGGCGACGAUCAGUAGUUGGUCUGAGAGGACGACCAGCCACACUGGGACUGAGACACGGCCCAGACUCCUACGGGAGGCAGCAGUGGGGAAUUUUGGACAAUGGGCGCAAGCCUGAUCCAGCCAUGCCGCGUGCGGGAAGAAGGCCUUCGGUUGUAACUAGCUUUGUACUAGAACGAAAGGUUUACCGUACUAAUACAGGAGGCGUUAUGACGGUACGUGUAAGAAUAAGACACCGGCUAACUACGUGCCAGCAGCCGCGGU